GAUGAACGCUGGCGGCGUGCUUAACACAUGCAAGUCGAACGAAGCAUUUGCGACAGAUUUUUUCGGAAUGAAGUUGCUUAUGACUGAGUGGCGGACGGGUGAGUAACGCGUGGGUAACCUGCCUUGUACCGGGGGAUAGCAGCUGGAAACGGCUGGUAAUACCGCAUAAGCGCACAAUGUUGCAUGACAUGGUGUGAAAAACUCCGGUGGUAUAAGAUGGACCCGCGUCUGAUUAGCUAGUUGGUGAGAUAACAGCCCACCAAGGCGACGAUCAGUAGCCGACCUGAGAGGGUGACCGGCCACAUUGGGACUGAGACACGGCCCAGACUCCUACGGGAGGCAGCAGUGGGGAAUAUUGCACAAUGGAGGAAACUCUGAUGCAGCGACGCCGCGUGAGUGAAGAAGUAAUUCGUUAUGUAAAGCUCUAUCAGCAGGGAAGAUAGUGACGGUACCUGACGAAGAAGCUCCGGCUAAAUACGUG
rnacentral:rRNA from 1 species